rnacentral:lncRNA from 10 species
GUGGGGAUUCUAGAAGGCACAGCCAGAGGUUGGGGAACAGGAUGCAGGGCAGGGCCAAAGGUCAUGGUGGUUGCUACCUACACCGGCUCAUCCUGAGUACAAAGGGUUCUCAGCACAGAGGGAACCCCAAAUCUCCCCCUCCAUGUACCUAGAGGCAGUUUCAGUCUUUCAUCCCACGGGCAUUUUCUGAGCACCUACUAUAUGCUGGAAUUUGCCCCAUGUCUGGGGAUACAAACAACUCAAAGAAUUUGAGGCUGUAAAAUGGCUAGAUGGGAAGGGACCAAAAAGGGGGUGCAACGGGCCAGUCAGGGUUCUCACUGAUGUCUUGGGUGUGGCUCUGAGACUGCGGGCUCCUUGGGGUGGGGCCGGACUUGAUCUCUUGGGAUCCCCACUGGGCCCGGCAAAAGUGGGUACUGACCCUGAGCCGCAGCGCUAUAAGGGGAAGUCAGGCUGCUGUCCUGGAUCACCUCCUGGGGCUGGGCUGGGGCCCAGCAUGAGUCACCGCUGGCUGGGCCAAGGCUGACACGCACCUUGGACUCAGUGCAGCUGGCUCCAGCCAAAGCCAGCCUGGCCCAGAAGCCUCUGCCUGGCUUCCUUGGGGAGCCGCUGGGGGUUGCCGGGACAAGAACCAGCAGGGGUGCCUGACCUCCCUCUGCAGCGAUCACCCCCUCCAAAACCUUCCCUAUACUGUGGGUGUGACUUUGGACAAAAUCAGGGACAUGGCAGAUGGCAGUUGGGUGGGGUUUAUAUCCUUUGUCUGUUUUUUGAGAUUGAGUCUCGCUCUGUUGCCCAGGCUGGAGUGCAGUGCUACGAUCUCAGCUCACUGCAACCUCCACCUCCCCGGGUUCAAGCGAUUCUCGUGCCUCAGCCUCCUGAGUAGCUGGGACUACAGGUGCAUGCUAUGACGCCCAGCUGAUUUAUGUAGUUUUAGUAGAGAUAGGAUUUCACCAUGUUGGCCAGGCUGGUCUCAAACUCCUGACCACAAGUGAUCCGCCUGCUGCGGCCUCCCAAAGUGCUGGGAUUACAGGCAUGAGCCACUGCACCCAGCUCAUCCUUUGGAUGUUUCAUCAGAACAGGUCCCUUCUGUGCUGUCAACGAGCUAAACACAAACUGGGAGUUCUCAGGGCAAUUGGAGACCGUAGGAGCCCAGUAAGGUGCUGGCCUAGCCUGAGGGUUACUAGGGACAGGCUUCCGAGGACUGUGCAGCUGAGGCUGGGAGGUGGCGCUCAGCUGCAUGACUGGGGGAAGAGUAGCUGGCACAGAACUACAGCUGCAGCCGUGCAAAGACCCUGAGGCCAGGAAGGCAGGAUAUUGGGAAUUUGGGUGGAGAGGCUCCUGAAAGGAGACACUGGCCAGCCCAGGGACUGGUGCAGUCAGGACUUUUUCCAAAAAGGUUUCAAGUAAGGAGUCAGAUCUGUGAUUUAGAAAAAGCCCUUCACAUCACAGCUCAUGCCUGCUUGACUCCCCCAUCAGACUGGAGGGCUGGCCUCAACUAGGUGUCAAUAAAUGCUGGGGACGCUGGGCGUGAGGCAGGACAAUCAGUUGAGCCUAGGAGGUCAAGGCUGCAGUGAGCUGUGGUCUUGCCACUGCACUCUGGCCAAGGCAAGAGCG